AGAAGAAUCGUGAGCCCAUGGAGGAACAACCAUACAGACAAGAUGAUUGGCAAAACAAGACAACCUAGAUUCUGGUGAUGACGAUGGGGAUAUUGAUUCAACGAGAGGAAUCCCUAAGGUUGCAGCGGACAUCAACACGCACACUAGGAUAGGUCCAGACUUUGAUCCAGACCUAUAGGAGAGACUUCGGCACGUUGUUGAUCACCAAUAACGACAAACAGGUGGGCCAAGGCUUGAUUGGCUAGGCGUGAGGUGAACGAAUCACAACCUUUGCAAACCCAUGCCAUUACAAAUUUACGAGAGUGGAC
rnacentral:lncRNA from 1 species